rnacentral:rRNA from 1 species
UACGUAGGGCGCGAGCGUUGUCCGGAUUUAUUGGGCGUAAAGCGCUCGUAGGCUGCUUGUCGCGUCGUUCGUGAAAACCUGCAGCUCAACUGCAGGCUUGCGGUCGAUACGGGCAGGCUAGAGUUCGGUAGGGGAGACUGGAAUUCCUGGUGUAGCGGUGAAAUGCGCAGAUAUCAGGAGGAACACCGGUGGCGAGGGCGGGUCUCUGGGCCGAUACUGACGCUGAGGAGCGAAAGCGUGGGGAGCGAACAGG